UAAGCAAGACCCUGUCUUUACACUUGCAGGAGUGUGCCUGGCCCUGAUUGUACAAUUAGCAUUGGGUUUGCUUUGUAACAAUUUCCUUAAGUUAUAAGCACUUCAGUUCUCGUUAAAGUAUGAUUCAACUUGCAUUUUUUAUGUCUGCUUCCAGUAAUUUAUUGGCACUCAAGAAGCAAUGCUCCUAAAUCAGUGUUGUAUAUUUUAUACAGAAGAGCCAGACAGAGGCGUGGCACAAGGUCAGCCUUUCCAGGCAACACCCUCAUGCCAUGAGUGACCCAGACACUGCCCCCUUCUGCUCCUCACCAAUCCCUGCUUGCCCUUCUCUUCCCCUGGAGCUUCCUGGGGCGACCCGCAGUGACCACCAUGGUGGAAGACCCAGGCUUCUCCUUUACAAAAAACUGUGCUGUGCCUGAGGCUGACAGAAGAAAACACCACCAUGAACUUGAUAAAGCAUUUUGUUGGAUGACAGCACUUCUGCAGUCCUUGGGGCAGAUCAAAUCUCAGCCCAGCCGUGUGAGUGGCCUGGUGCACACAGUGCAGAACAGUUCCCACAGCCCAAGGCCUCUGGGAGUUGGCUCUGCCCCUUGUCCAGGUCCAUGUCCUCCCCAAAACACCCUCACAGGAGCACUCAGCAGACUCUGUCAUGGUUAAGAUGGUUUAUCAGCUACUGGAUCUGCCACUUCUUCAGUCACCUUUUAAAGGAGCAGUUACUGAUCCCCCAUCACAUCAGUGAAAUUUAUGAGAGGAGGAGCAAAGAGAAGAGUAAUGCCACAUCUUGAGGGAAAGGAGGUGACAUUUGUCUGAAAGGCUGGCUUUAUUUUGGAAAUGGCAGCUGUUUGGAACUGUUGACAGAUUGGGAGUGUUAGAAAUUGUCCCAGGCCAGAUGGAUUACUGAUCUGGGUCCAGGUGAAUAGGUCAGAGGCACUUUAUAAAUGAUGGCAUCUAUUCCCACGUAGCUAUCACCACCACAGAGUAGUAUAGGUAACAGUUAUUUUUAUAACAUGUAAUUGAGUUAUUUUGGAGCAGUCCCACACAGGUCAGGGGUAUGUACUUUUUUAUCAUCUUCCUCCCCUUUUGCUGCUGCAAUUGCAGUAACUUGAGACAUUUCUAGUACUAUUCCUAAUUGAAUUAGGAUGGGCUGAAGGCAAGAUAUCUAGGGAGGGGUGGUAGAGAAAUAGCUCUUUCAGUCAGGAAAUCACAUUCAAUCUUUUUCUUUCUGUUAUUUCCUGUGAUCUGAAUACAUUGAUCGGUUUCAGAGUCAUGUUGCAAGAAUUUUUUUCAAGGAACAGGAAUGACUCAACCAAAUAAGAACUUGAAAAGGUAAAAAACAAGGAUUUUCAUGUAUUUGUG
rnacentral:lncRNA from 12 species